CUCGUCUGAAGCGCUCAACAACCACCGCUCUGGUCAAAACCCGGCACGGUGGAAAUGAGACACCCUCCGCCCUCCAUUCUUCUUCCAUCUGCUGUUCUUCAUUUCGCGGUGCUCUUUAAGCAUUCUAAUCGAUGUAAUUGUUUCAUUUUAAAUUUCUUUCUUUCUGCGUAUGUUCUUCGAAAUCGAUUAUCCGAUCAAGCUUCUUCGAUCGCGCUGGCGUGCAAAUCUCAUCUGUAAUGUAGCCAGCUCAUUGGCCUCUGGUUUUUCUCGGCCAUUGGCGAGCAUUUGGAUCCUCACUUGAUUUUCUCUCUGGAAGGACCUGCAGUUUGUGGAUCAACAUGGGAUUUCAUAGAGAAUUUCUGCGUUGCCGAUUUGCUAAAGAUGGGCAUGAUCUUGAUUCUUUCAUACUUUGGUAUUUUACUCCUAUGUUUAUUACAUAAAAUUGGCGUCUUCGGCUGCAUCGGUCGGGGUCGGGAGGGUUCUGCAGAACGAUAUGGACUUGUUUAGCUUGUCAUUGUCAAAAGAACAAGAAGGCAGGCACUUUAGAAGAAAGGACCUGGAAGAAAAGUUUGAAAGUGAAGAAGGAAAACAUCGGCAUGGGGUCAACAAGCGAUUCGAGCAAUUUCCCCAAACGUGUUGAGUCGAGAACUAGCAGACGGGUGUCUCGUAGAUAGAUGAGGAACCACAGAGGUUUUGAAGUGAGAAAGUCAUCGAGGUCGAAAAGUCAUGGAAUUCGAGUUAAGGAAGAGUAGAGUGUUGGUCUAUGGUAAGCACAGAAGAAAAUCUGUUGAGGUUGGGACUCAUUUGAAUGAGAUUCUCCACAAU